rnacentral:lncRNA from 1 species
CCUAUUACAACAGCGAUAAAGACUUCUUUUUUCAUCACGACAACGUAGACAUCUCCGUCGGUGGCUACGCGCUGUGGAAUGGAACGUGGUCACCGGGACAGGAUGUAACGGUGAUAGGCGACGGGCUGGCCGGCGAUUUCUAUGUACCGCAGACGGGAAAGUUGGUGGCACUGGUGAAAGUCUACAGGAACGGGUCCACCUUUUUUUCGGACUCCGACGACCCGUUGACAGCUCCAACAGUGAAGGCCUCGAACAACUGCUUUGGCUUGUAUUCACUGCGUAUCCUUCCGAGUCCACAUAACCUCGUAGAAUUCAAAGCCGUGACAGGCGAGAUAACGUACUAGCAACAUCUGAAUGACCAUCUCGUCUGUGGAGUACAUGGUAGUCAGGCCAAGCGACUUCAAUGUUCAUGAGUACUCAUUUGUCUGGACUUGGAUUGAAAUUGAUUCUCUUAUUAAAGCUCAAAUUAACGAUUGCA